UAUGUCUUCACUAUUAUUAUAAAAUGUAGAAAAUAGUAAAAACAAAGAACAACCCUGGAAUGAAUAGGUAUGUCUAAACCUUUGACUGGUACUGUUAAUUGUUUUUUCGUUGUUUGUGUGGAUUUUUGGUCAUUAUAUUUUCCCGAUACUGGAAUUACUUUUCUUUGGUGAAGUUUUCACCCCCGUCCAGUUGAUGGCGACAAUACAUCUUUUGCGUGUAGUUCGCCAAUAAACCAGAAGAAGAAGAAGAAGCUUAUUUUUGUGGACAGACGUUUGGCGGAGUAGAAUUUCUCGCUUAGACUCUUCCUCUCUGUUAGAAAGCAACUGCGGACACGCUAGCUCAGUUGUUUUAUUUAGAUUUUAUUGAAACACUCGCAAAUAUGUCUGGAAGAGAAGGUGGUAAAAAGAAGCCCUUAAAAGCUGCCAAGAAAGCGACUAAGGAGAUGGAUGACG